GACGACGCUGGCGGCGUGCCUAAUACAUGCAAGUAGGACGAGUUGCGAACGGGUGAGUAACGCGUGGUAACCUGCCUAUUAGAGGGGGAUAACAAUUGGAAACGAUAGCUAAUACCGCAUACUAGUAGAAGGACCUGCGUGGUAUGAGCUAGUAGGUAGGGUAAGGGCAUACCUAGGCGACGAUACAUAGCCGACCUGCGAGGAUGAGCAGCCACACUGGGACUGAGAGACGGCCCAGACUCCUACGAGAGGCAGCAGUGGUGAAUAUUGCACAAUGGGCGCAAGCCUGAUGCAGCCAUGCCGCGUGUAUGAAGAAGGCCUUCGGGUUGUAAAGUACUUUCAGCGGGGAGGCGUUACCCGCAGAAGAAGCACCGGCUAACUCCGUGCCAGCAGCCGCGGUAAUUC
rnacentral:rRNA from 1 species